rnacentral:rRNA from 1 species
GGAGUCUAGCAUGCGCGCGAGUCAUCGGGAAUUAAUAAACCCGUAGGCGCAGUGAAAGCGAAAAGCAGCCUCGCGCUGCUUGAGGGAGGAUGGGCCGCCGUUCGCGACGGCCCCGCACUCCCGGGGCGUCUCGCGCUCAUCGCGAGCUGAGGCGCACCUAGAGCGUGCACGCUGGGACCCGAAAGAUGGUGAACUAUGCCUGGUCAGGACGAAGUCAGGGGAAACCCUGAUGGAGGUCCGUAGCGAUUCUGACGUGCAAAUCGAUCGUCGGAACUGGGUAUAGGGGCGAAAGACUAAUCGAACCAUCUAGUAGCUGGUUCCCUCCGAAGUUUCCCUCAGGAUAGCUGGCGCUCAUUGCGUUCGAGUCUCAUCCGGUAAAGCGAAUGAUUAGAGGCAUUGGGGUCGAAACGGCCUCAACCUAUUCUCAAACUUUAAAUGGGUGAGAUCUCCGGCCUGCUCGAUCAAGCAUUGUGAGGCCGGAGAUCGGAUCAGAGUGCCAAGUGGGCCACUUUUGGUAAGCAGAACUGGCGCUGUGGGAUGAACCAAACGCAGAGUUAAAGCGCCAAAAUCGACGCUAAUGGGACACCAUGAAAGGCGUUGGUAACUUAAGACAGCAGGACGGUGGCCAUGGAA